AUUGAACGCUGGCGGCAGGCCUAACACAUGCAAGUCGAACGAGUGGCGGACGGGUGAGUAAUGUCUGGGAAACUGCCUGCUGGUUGGGGAUAACUACUGGAAACGGUAGCUAAUACCGCAUACUACCAGAUGUGCCCAGAUGGGAUUGGCUGGUGGGUGGGGUAACGGCUCACCACGGCGACGAUCCCUAGCUGGUCUGAGAGGAUGACGAGCAACACGGGAACUGAGACACGGUCCAGACUCCUACGGGAGGCAGCAGUGGGGAAUAUUGCACAAUGGGCGCAAGGCUGAUGCAGCCAUGCCGCGUGUAUGAAGAAGGCCUUGGGGUUGUAAAGUACUUUCAGCGGGGAGGCGUUACCCGCAGAAGAAGCACCGGCUAACUCCGUGCCAGCAGCCGCGGUAAUAC
rnacentral:rRNA from 1 species